UUAAAUUCGAUGACGGGGAAGAGUAGCCAUACCUGAAGGUCAAAGAGAGCCGCCGUCGGUGGGAGAGCGGUACCGGAAGGUACGGUGAAUGGGCCCCGGAGAAGGCGCGGCGAAAGACAUCGAGUAGCCGUGCCCGGAAAGUCCUCCGUUAAUAAAAGGACGGGGUAUCGCAUUUUAUGCCGUACCCUUUAUGAGAGAGCCUGUAUACCGGGUGGCGAAAAGCAUUUCAUCCCAUGGGUGAAAUGCUUUUUUUAUAACCUAUGCAGGCUAAUCCGGGUGGCACCGCGGAGAGCAUCCGUCCCGCAU
rnacentral:ncRNA from 1 species